CUUCCCUCCCGCCGCGCCACGGGAGGUGUUUCGUGGGUGCCGAGAGGGGUUUGGGAGGGAUGAGCGAGCGGGGAUUUGGAGGCGGAGGGGAGCUGCGGUCACGCCUCCGAAGGAUGAGGACGUUUUUGCUUAUUACUUGAUCUUUUCCGAUGACUUUCGGAGAGGAGCGCGGGCAGAGCUGCGCUGCUGGCCGCUUCUUCACGUUUGGGAAAUGCACGCUUAAUCUGAGGACUGGAAUUAGAGAUGAUCUGGGAGAUGAAGAACUACAAGACUGAAAGCUCCAUAAGCUGUAACGUUAACAGAGGCAAGCUUCCUGCUUUCAAGAAAUUUAGCUUACAAGGAAAUAAGCAUUGAUACUUAAGGAUAAGAGUUUCAUAAAAAAUUAAGGGAACAUCACUGCCUUGGAACAUAAAUCUAGAGAUGAAAGGACUUAGAUAAAUGUGACAGAUAAAACUGUCUCUUGUUUACUCCCUGAAAUACCACAGAACAUACCAUACCAGAUUGUGUCUCUAGAACUCUGGCCCUGCUGGAUUUACAGCAUGCAUUUCAGAACCACUGCAAGUCCAUGACGUUUUGGUCCUUUGACCUGUGCCAGAAAAGACUUGAUCACUCUUCUGCUCAUUAAGGUUUUACAUUUAAACCCUGCCACCUACCAACAGUGAGACUUUCUCCUGCCUCUGACAGGGUUUGUAAGGUUUGUAUCUGGUUUCAUCAUGGAAAUUUAAUUACUUGGAUACAGUGUGCAUAGCACAGGGCAUACAGACUAAGAGAGAGCAUCUGAAGGGCUACAGAGAAAUGCAAAAUAAGGCUGACCCAAGAAGAUCCCAACACAAUAGAGCUCAAAAUCACAGCGUAUUCAGAAGGCUCAAGCUCAGCUUCAUUUGCCUGUGUGCUGUCUGCAUUAUUACUGUCGUUCAGUUGUGCAUAUGUACGUGGUUUAUGCUCUGUCUUUAUUGCAGUGGGUGUUGUGACUGUAUGGAGCUGUAUCAGUGACGAUACCUCUAUACUGAUGAUAAGUUUCUCUGAAAGGUGAAGGCAGAGGACUACAUUUGUGCAAUUAAACCCAACUUCCUAUAGAGGGAGGAGGAAAGAUUAUAUCAAACAAGAAUGCAUCGCAAAAGCCUGCCCACAUCCCCUGCGAUUUGCUCCUUAGUGAGUCCAAAUCCCCACUAAUCCGCUCUCUGCUUUCAGCUCACAACCCAAACACUCCUCCCCGCACCCCACAUUUCUCAGCCCGUACGCUGGCCCGUGCUGCGGUGGAGGCUGAGGUCGGGGUGACCAGAGCCUGCCCGGCUGCCCAGGCGGGGCCGGUGGGAGACGGGGCAGCCUGCACCCCAGCAGGGGCUGGGGUUUACACAUUCCUGCCCAUCGGCUGCUGCAGCUGCGAUGCAAUGGCACCGUUUGGUGUCAGGGAACCCAUGAUACGUAACAAGAACUAAUAAAAGCGUGGGAUUCCAAGCGUG